GAUGAAGAACGUAGUGAAAUGCGAUAAGUAAUGUGAAUUGCAGAAUUCAGUGAAUCAUCGAAUCUUUGAACGCGUCUUGCGCUCCUUGGUAUUCUGAGGAGCAUGCCUGUUUGAGUGUCAUUAAAUUCUCAACUACACUGACUUUAAAUUGGUGUGGCUUGGAUUUGGGGGGAAAAUUGUUGUGGGCUUUUUGUAUAGUCUGCUCCCCUGAAAUUGAUUAGCGGUACCUUUGUGGAACUGUCUACAGGUGUGAUAAUUAUCUACAUCUUAGACAUCUGCUGGAAUGCUGCUUUCUAAACCUUACUUGUAUUGACAAUCUUGACCUCAAAUCAGGUAGGACUACCCGCUGAACUUAAGCAUAUCAAUAAGCGGAGGA
rnacentral:misc_RNA from 1 species